UGUAAAACUCCAUUUUAUUUGUUUUGUGCUGUUUACAACAACACGCACUGAGACAAUGUAGACAAAUCAGCUCUAAAGAAAUGGAAAGCAUCCAUUCCUCUAAUGAUUAAGUGACAAUGACAGUAAUGGAUAAGAAAACAGAAACGAGAAAAGAACCUUGACAGAGAUGUGCUUUUCUGAGGGGAUACUGAAUAGGGGAUGUAGGAUACUGUAAAAUAUUGUGAAGGCGGGUUUAAAACAUAUGUUCCCAUAUCAUAUAGGAAAUAAGAGCGAUGAAUGCGGUUAAAAGUUUGUUAAAGAGCAACUCAUGAACAAUGUAACAAACACAUGAUCUUCAGAUGUAUUAUUAGCGAUUUUAAUCUUUUCUGACUAAAACAAAAGUUCUGAUAUUCUCUUACCAGUGUAUUUUACAGAUGGAGACAUGAGUGCCGUACUAUGAUGGCUGUUUCAUUCACAUGCUGUAAAAACACAUCCUUCCGCUGACAAAACUUGAUGGUUUACCCAACACUAGUGAGCGAUAACUGAAAUCCAGCCUUUGUACAUGUAUUGUAUUUUAGGGGAGAGGUACAGUAUUUGUGGGAGGUUUACUGGUAGGCUAUUAAUAAGAGACUGGAGAAAAAUUCAAAUCCCAUUUCUACCAUAUUUACUUUGUGCUUUUGUUUCUGUUUCAAUCCUGUAUCCACCCCGUCCUGUCAUUGGCCUGUUACCCAAUGUGUGCACCUGUUCUGUCUAGUCCUUCAUUCAUUUACCUAUGUAUAGCCUGCUAUUUCAUUGUUUCGUUGCAAAGCCUUAUCAUGCAUUUCUAACAAAAAUCCAAGCCUUGUUUUCUAGUUCCUGGUCUGUGUGCAUUAUUUCACAGUUUUAAUCUAACGAUUAACGGAUCGUUCUAGUUUGCUGCCUGUGCUCUGACACCCACUUGGAUCUCUGACAAUGAUUCUCCUUAAUAAAGCACACAGUAGGUUUUACACACUUGUGCGUCCUGCCUCCUAUCACUGCACGUAACACUGGCAAACAAAUAACAUGGAGCAUCUUUUGGUGGACGUCCUCCUCCCCAAGGAUUACGCCAAUGGCUGGUGAUGCAGAUGGUAUUUGAACACAGGGGGUGUGAAUAAAAAAGGACUUGUUCUUUAGCAACAUUAACAACACCUUUUAAGGGGUACUAGGAGUAGUAGUAGAAAUAGGCGUAGGAGUGGUGGUAGGAGCAGUGAUUGGAGUAGUCAUAGUGCGAAGACAUGAUAAUUAAUUAUCUGAAGUAUAGGACUAGUGGCUGAAAGAAAGGGUUCACAAGUUAAUGGAUAAGGGGUCGGAGUAGAGAUGGGAGUACCGUACUGGAUUGAGUAGGGGUUGGAUGGGAAGUCCUGGAGAUAUUCAUCAGUACAGGAGCUGUUCCUGGUAUGAUUCUGAGAAGAGCUCAGGGUUAGUAUUUUUAGUAUGACUAUUUAUGUUAUACCUUUCAUUAUAGAUAGGACAGUGUUUAUUCUUAAUCUGUGUUAAUUCAUGGUUGAUUUUCAGGCCUUUUAUUUCAUUUCUGCCAUUGGCAUUAAGUUGUGGGAAGAAUAGAUAUUGCUGCUGCAUGGAGAAAUGAAGUUUUAUUUAAGUUUGUAGAUGAAGUGUAUGGCUUCAAGGAGAAUCAACAGGUUAGGUGUGUAGGCCAGUAAUUGUACCCAUUGUUUAAACACACUAACACCACCACUGACGCAACACCCAAUAAGAUUCCAGUGUCAUGUCAGUGUUUCUGCUGUUCGGCAUCUGGAAGGAUUAGUGGCAGUGGUUCAUCAAUUGGUAGGGGAAAUGGGUCCGGCAAUGGUUCAGGGACUGGUUCGGGUUGUGGUUCAGGGACUUGUUCGGGUUGUGGGACAGGGAUUGCUUGGGGUUGUGGGUCGGGGAGUGGGAUAGAAGAAAUUGGAACAGUGGUUGUAAUAGUUCCAGGAGUAGUGGUGAGUGUAAUAGUAGUAGUGGUUUGACUAGUUGUAGAAAUAGUUGGAAAAGUAGUGUUAGGAGUAAAUGAAGUAGUAGUAGAUAUUAUGGUUGUAGGGGUAGUUGUAGGAGAAGUGAAGGGAGUAACUGGAGUAGUAGUUGUUUGAGUAGUGGUAGGUGGAAUUGGAGGAGGAGUAGCUGAACUUGUUGCAUCGUAUUGUAUAGGGAUGAUUGGAUUGGUGGUAGAACUAAUUGGAGGACUGGUGGUAGGAGUAACUGAAGGUGCAGUGGAUGGAAAAGUUAUAGGAGUAGUGGUUGGAAUAGUGGUUGGAGUGGUGGUUGGAGUGGUGGUUGGAGUGGUGGUUGGAUGGGAAACGCUUGUGGAUUGUGAAGACACUGAGAAGAGGAUAGUUAGUUAGACAGUUAGUAUUUUUCAUUAUGCUUAUUUACUGUAUUAUUUGCACUUUAAAUAAGUCAGUAUUUAUUCUUACCCUGUGUGAAUCCAGGGUUGAUUCUCAGGCCAUUUAUUUCAUUUCUGCUAUUGACGGCCUGCAGAAAUAGGUACUUGAUCACCAUGGCAUUGGUUUGGUCUGAGUAGAACAUGAUGGUGGCCUGAACAACCACAGAUCCAGCCUUGUCACUAGACAUGGAGCCAGAGAGAUAAUAAAUAACUCAAGUGAUAUUUAAUGUUGCAGAUGAACUUUACGGCUGCAAGGAGGAUCAAGAGGUUAGGUGUUUAAUACCUGUGAU
ensembl:lncRNA